GAUGAACGCUGGCGGCGUGCCUAACACAUGCAAGUCGAGCGAGAUUUAUGCAAGUGGAGACUUCGGUCAAAGCGAACAUAAUGAAAGCGGCGGACGGGUGAGUAACGCGUGAGCAAUCUGCCCCAUACAAAGGGAUACCCACUGGAAACGGUGAUUAAUACCUUAUAAGACCACAGAGCCGCAUGGUUCGGGGGUCAAAGAUUUAUCGGUAUGGGAUGAGCUCGCGUCUGAUUAGCUAGUUGGUGAGGUAAUGGCUCACCAAGGCGACGAUCAGUAGCCGACCUGAGAGGGUGAACGGCCACACUGGAACUGAGACACGGUCCAGACUCCUACGGGAGGCAGCAGUGGGGAAUAUUGCACAAUGGGCGCAAGCCUGAUGCAGCAACGCCGCGUGAAUGAUGAAGGCCUUCGGGUCGUAAAGUUCUGUCCUAAGGGAAGAAUACAGUGACAGUACCUUAGGAGGAAGCCCCGGCUAACUACGUGCCAGCCGCCGCAGUAAAAC
rnacentral:rRNA from 1 species